rnacentral:rRNA from 1 species
AGAAUCAACGCUGGCGGCGUGCCUAACACAUGCAAGUCGCACGAGAAAGUGGGGCAAUCCACGAGUAAAGUGGCGCACGGGUGAGUAACACGUGAAUGAUCUACCUCCGAGUGGGGAAUAACUGAGAGAAAUCUUAGCUAAUACCGCAUAAUACCCACGGGUCAAAGCAGCAAUGCGCUUGGAGAGGAGUUCGCGGCCGAUUAGCUAGUUGGCGGGGUAAUGGCCCACCAAGGCGAUGAUCGGUAUCCGGCCUGAGAGGGCGCACGGACACACUGGAACUGAAACACGGUCCAGACUCCUACGGGAGGCAGCAGUGGGGAAUUUUGCGCAAUGGGGGAAACCCUGACGCAGCAACGCCGCGUGGAGGAUGAAAUCCCUUGGGAUGUAAACUCCUUUCGAUAGGGAAGAUAAUGACGGUACCUAUAGAAGAAGCCCGGCUAACUUCGUGCCAGCAGCCGC